rnacentral:rRNA from 1 species
GCUUAUACUCGACCAUCACCGGGACGUGCGAUAGCACGAGCUUUCGAGGUGCUAGUAAAUACUCCAGCGAGGCCAUGGAGGACUGUCGAUGCCGUGGAGAAAGAUUUCGUGUGAACAGCCGUUGCACAUGAUAAUCAGUCGAUCCUGAGCCCUAGACGUUAAGCCGAUGUCGAUGCUGUCUAGUUUUUAUGAUAACGAAGGACGACGACGAACUAAAUGUUAAUUCGUCUCGAAAUAACGCGAGAGCACACAUCCGGUUCUUAUUCAGGGAACUUGGCAGCGGAACCGUCAAAAAGGGGGGC